rnacentral:rRNA from 1 species
AUGGUUCACUUUCAGUUCAUCCUGGACCGCAUCCGAGCUCGUCUAGCUGGAUGGAAGCAUAAACUGAUGAAUAUCGCAGGGAGAAGAGUGCUUGUUCGGAGCGUUCUCUCGGCGAUCCCAACUUUUGCACUCUCUGUUCUUCGGCCACCAAAGCUUCUCUUCAGAGAGAUUGAUAAAGCCCGCAGAAAGUUUCUUUGGACACAAGAUGAGGAGCUUACUGGUGGCAAAUGCAAGGUUGCCUGG